rnacentral:rRNA from 1 species
UACGUAGGCGGUUUACUAAGUCAGAUGUGAAAGCCCCGGGCUUAACCUGGGAACUGCAUUUGAUACUGGUAGGCUAGAGUAUGGUAGAGGGGGUAGAAUUCAUAGUGUAGCGGUGAAAUGCGUAGAUAUUAUGAGGAAUACCAGUGGCGAAGGCGGCCCCCUGGACCAAUACUGACGCUGAGGUACGAAAGCGUGGGUAGCGAACA